GCAGAUGUGGUGGAAUUGGCAGACGCGCUAGCUUCAGGUGCUAGUGGGAGCAAUCUCGUGCGGGUUCAAGUCCCGCCAUCUGCACCA
rnacentral:tRNA from 5 species